UUGGCUACGCGCUGCGACUUCAGUUUGUCACCGCGCUGCGUGAACUUCAGGACUUCUUGACCCAAGAUGUCUUCAUGAUCGCAUCGUGCAGAUCAUGUGCCGCGUAUAGCAUUGGUUAGAAACUUCGCGAAACGAGCGGAUCGUUUCUUCGGCAUAGAACACACUGGGGAACUGCUGUGGUCUCUAGAGUUCUAUCGGACUAGCCUGCACACUGCAGCCUGGCGUUCUCGAGUUCCAUGAUUUCAGGAAUCGACUGACUUUAUCUAGAGAAAAUCCGCGCUUGACUUGCAAUUCAAGUGCGGUAGUGCCAACGCUACAAGCAUGCAGUGCUCUGUAGGCAUCUGCGCCGAGAGCGUACUCUCGACUCUUGAGGAUCCUUUACCCAGCUCUUGUCGGUACAAGACUGAUCACCUAUAGAUGUAUCCGUUACUGUAUCCAAGAAGACUUUUUAAUGGCUGCGUUUCAAGCUGGUCCAGCGACGCGUGCACGCAACACUGACGAGAACUGAGCUGCGGGCCGAACCCAAGCUCCACUACCAGUACCCCAAGGAGCGGGUUUUCUGUAUCAGAACGCUUCAGGUAUCUCAUCAGCUCAUUCCGUCGUGAUUUUUAAUGGAACUCAACUUAUCACACACUCAUCUGAGGCCGUAGGCGCCCUGAAAACGUACGGUUCUCGGAAACAACGCGCGUUUCAUUGACGACGGGCGCAUGUCGCUUGCUCGCGUCAUUUUCUAUGCUUGAACUGUGGCUCCUUCGCUGCACUUGCCGUGCGAGUGCGCCAUGUAUGGAGACGAAAACCUCGGGGAUUUUUUAAUGACCGCGAAAUUCAGCGAGUCGGACGCCAGUGCGAUACGAGCGACUAAAUCUGCUGAUCUGCAUGGAACGAUGCGUCUGACAAUCUUCUCCCGCGGGAUUCUUCAAGUUUUCACUCGCAUGCAAGAGCUUGCUGGUUUGCCAUUCGAUGGGGCGCAAACGCGGCCAUCAGCAUUGCACGCUGUACUGAACAUUCGUGUUUAGGCGCUCGCACCACACAGAACACCCCUUGGAGAAAGCACAAGCGCUCAACGAGUUGAUUGCCCGUCAGUCCACCUGAUUUCCCGCAUCCGAAAUUCACGUUUCGACACGAGCAAGAAGACACUAUAUUCUGUGAAAGUGCUGUUCUUCGUGAUACCAUGGAUGGCGUCACCGAAUCGAACCGCAUUCGUCUUGGUUUACGAACUGUACCAGUGCUUCGUACCCGAUAUAUCCCAUGGGUAGUGUACGACCCCGUCCAGAAUACAUACCUCAUUGCCCUGCAUGUAUCUCUAUGAUGGACCUUUUGGAGAUCGGAUACGGGCCAGGACGCCUCGCAAUCAAUGCUUUCUUGAUCGUGCUGGAGUAGGCAAUUUUUUCUACCAAACCUAGCAAUCUUUGACGGAACACGACAACUUCAUCUGUUCCGCGGACGUUGUUGGCGACGGCGGCGACAUAUUGUUGUACGCCAUCGCUCACCAGUGCCCAUAUCGAAGCGUACAGGAACUGUGUCUUGCGUGAGAGGCAGACGCAACGUGCAUCUCGCCGCUCGCCUAGACCCGAUUCCAGCGUGGCGAUCCCUAGAAGGUCGCUCCGUCAAAGUGACGUUCAGUUCGAGGCACACGUCCAAGAACAAACUGGUAUCAGCUUUGUUUUCAAGGCUGACACCAGACUCCCUAUAUUCCAUCGCUUUCAGCCAACGGCGUCGCCGGCAUGGGCUGCUGAGAUAAACCAUAGGGUUGACAGUCGCCUCCGAUGCGAACAUGAAUAGCAGGUCCUGAUGGAAGAUUUCGAAAUAGACAUAAUCAAUACGGGUAAAUAUUAGAGAUAC
rnacentral:misc_RNA from 1 species